GUACACUCCUGCGGGAGGCAGCAGUGGGGAAUUUUGGACAAUGGGCGAAAGCCUGAUCCAGCCAUGCCGCGUGCAGGAUGAAGGCCUUCGGGUUGUAAACUGCUUUUGUACGGAACGAAACGGCCUUUUCUAAUAAAGAGGGCUAAUGACGGUACCGUAAGAAUAAGCACCGGCUAACUACGUGCCAGCAGCCGCGGUAAUACGUAGGGUGCAAGCGUUAAUCGGAAUUACUGGGCGUAAAGCGUGCGCAGGCGGUUAUGUAAGACAGUUGUGAAAUCCCCGGGCUCAACCUGGGAACUGCAUCUGUGACUGCAUAGCUAGAGUACGGUAGAGGGGGAUGGAAUUCCGCGUGUAGCAGUGAAAUGCGUAGAUAUGCGGAGGAACACCGAUGGCGAAGGCAAUCCCCUGGACCUGUACUGACGCUCAUGCACGAAAGCGUGGGGAGCAAACAGGAUUAGAAACCCGAGUAGUCCCAUG
rnacentral:rRNA from 1 species